GUUAAGCAGAAACCAACUCAUCUUUUUUAAGUUGAUAAGGAUUAACUUUCCCCUUGUGUGUCCCUGUUUGCAGGGACUUCUGGAAAGUUCAGGCUAAGUUUCUUGCUAAAUCACAUCAAUGAAAUCAACCUCAAUGAUGGUUAACUAUAAAGUGAAGGGGUGGUUGCAUUGAUCUUCUUCCCUUAGAAAAUUGCCACAUGAUUCCCAGUCACAUCAGUUUUGGCAAUAAAAUGGUACCUGAAGUCAGCUGCUAAAGAUUCUGAAGAUGACUCCUAGGAGCAAGUGAAGAUGCCUCAGAGCCUUAUUUCUUUGUGGCCUCUUCAGCACUCUCCAGGAUCUCUGUUCUUUGCCUCAGGAAGAUAUUGAACAGCUUAUAGAAUGUGGGAAAAGCUUCAAUAUUUGCUUAUUAACAAGAUUAUUUUGGCAAUAUAUGAAAGAGAGAUUGAAGAAAAGAGACAGGUGAAAUACUCUGGAGAUUCUGAAUUUACUGUUUCACAUGUGGAUCAACUAAGACAGUAUGUUUUGAGUAGCAGUAAUACUGAAGAAUGCUUAUAGAUGUUACUUUUUUAAAAAUGCCGUGUAAAUGACUUUAUUAAAUGCUAUGGAGGAAGAGUAAGCUCUGUUAUGCUAUGUGUGCCUUAUAUAAAAGAUGGACUAGACUGACCUGUGGAGUAAGAAAAGUUUUCCAGAGGACCUAAUUUUAGAGUGUUCCACCUGAUUAACAUCUCAGCAUUAGCUGGGAGAAAUGGGGGUCAAAGGAGAGAACAGAAUGCUCCAUGAAAGGGAACAGGAGGAAAGGAAUAUGGUUCUAGGACUGAAAAAUUACCAAUGUGACUGGCAAAUAGAAAGGAAAAAAUGUCAUGAAAUUAGAACGGAUAGGUGGGCAGAGUUUCGGUUAAGGACGUAUUCAAGUUAAUAAAGUUGUUAAGUCCAUCUUAUCAACAUCCCAAGUUUCCUAGAAUGUUCAUUGGGAUAUCUUACUUAAGGGUACAAUUAAACAAAUUUUAUUCCUAGAGAAAUGAAAAGUCAUUGUAGGUUUUAUAACAGGCAAGGGAUGAUAAUAAUAGAAUUGUGUCUUACAAAGAAUAUUCUAGUUUCUGUGUAAAAAAUGGAUAGUUCAGAGGAUAUAUCUGCAGGGCAGUGAGGAGUGUAGGUGAAAGAAGAUGGUGAUUCAAAGUGGAAUGGUGAUGGAUGAGCUAGAAAGAAAUAGACAAAUUUAGUAAAUAGCAAACAGAAUUAACAGGAAUUGGUGACUUGGGAUGUGAGUACUCUAGUUACCUAUUGCUGUCUAAAAAAUUAGCACAAAUUUAGCAACUUAACACCAAUUUGUUUGCUCACAUUUCUGUGGGUCAGAAGUCUAGCACAGUGUGGCUGGAAACUAGGUAUCAUGAGGCUGAAA